rnacentral:rRNA from 1 species
AUUGAACGCUGGCGGCAGGCCUAACACAUGCAAGUCGAACGAGUGGCGGACGGGUGAGUAAUGUCUGGGAAACUGCCCGAUGGGGGGGGAUAACCACUGGAAACGGUAGCUAAUACCGCAUACUAUCGGAUGUGCCCAGAUGGGAUUAGCGAGUGGGGGGGGUAACGGCUCACCUAGGCGACGAUCCCUAGCUGGUCCGAGAGGAGGACCGGCCAACCGGGACCUGGGACACGGUCCAGACUCCUACGGGGGGCAGCAGUGGGGAAUAUUGCACAAUGGGCGCAAGCCUAAUGCAGCCAUGCCGCGUGUAUGAAGAAGGCCUUCGGGUUGUAAAGUACUUUCAGCGAGGAGGCGUUACUCGCAGAAGAAGCACCGGCUAACUCCGUGCCAGCAGCCGCGGUAAUUC